CUCCUCCCCACCUAUCCACCAUUCCAGCCGCCGCCGCCACCCCUAUCUCUCCUCGCGCAUCCUCUUUCCUCUCCACAUCUGGCCGGAGGAGAACGCGGCAGCGGUGGCAUCUCCUGGCGACGGCAGUGGGGGCGGGCGAGGUUGCAAGGUGACGGCCCGAGGUGGCGGUGGAGGAGCUGCUCUUUGGGUCGAGGUGGGGCUCGCGAGGCUUCAAGGCGACGGGCCGAAACAAGGGUGCAAGGAUCCGGUUGGUCUAUUGUUACUGCUGGCGAUGGACGGAGGAGGUGCUCUCGGGUCGAGGUGGCAGCGCCGUCGGUGAUGCUAAGCCCAACAGGGAGAAGGAAUGGGCAAGCGAGGCCAGCAGGGGAAGGAAUUGGGUGUGGCAUCACACGCUGGCUUGUUGCUUGCACCUGAAGAAGACAGAUACCAGCAGCCGAUGGACACCAUCUGGUGUUGGUUACAGUAGGCUCUGAGGUAGGAUGUGAUUCUUAUCUUUAAAGAGUGGCAAGCUCGAGUUGUGAAUCUGCUGCUAUACAUUGUCUGAGGAAAGCAAUAGGCAUACACAUGACAUUCAGCAAUCUCUCGGAUGUAAGGCCAAUGAGAUUUGCAGGCUUCAUGCAGUAACACUCUAAAUAGGAGGUGUGUUAUGCUGGAGCAGGAGGCUGGAAUGAAUAUACUACUAUGGAAGGUAGAAAGGCUAAGACAAAGAAUGAUUUUAGUGGGAGGUUCAACCUGGGAGAGGUGCGCUGAACUACUCAAGAAAAGAGACUCACAUCAUUGGCCGAUGCAUAUUCUACGACAUGAAAAACACCUCAAGGAAUUGUUGUUUCCAAGGUGGGCUGAGUUUAGGGACGGCAGCAGUUCUACCACCGAUGGUGUUGCAUGUAAGCUGGAUGUUCUCAUUGUUCUGUUGGCCCUGAUCGGCAGUGUGGAUGCUAUGAAGUUAAGGUUCUUUAGAUGAAUGCUGUUUAUAGAAGUGAUGCAUGAUGUGAGGUACAACUAUGAAAGUGACAUUAAUUUUGGUUUUGCUUCCUAUCCGCAGCCUCUUCUACACUAGAUCUUCAGAAAAGGAAAACACUCGACGAUCUGGCUCUGUCUCGGGUAUGUGCUCCCUCGCCCGCAAGAUCUGCUCUCUCCCAUCUACGCAUCGCGGCAGCACUUCAUCUCCUCUUGUGGAUUCUCACCAGAUCAGGCCACCUCACUCACCUUCAGGACCUCGCCGGCAGAUCCCUCAGCUAUCAAGGAAGGCAGCCAUCAGCGGAGAUUGAGGGUGCCUCUCUGGCGAGAGUGCACGUGUCCGGGUGGUUUCCCAUCAGCAGCGUGGGUGAGGCGGUGUCUUCUGCAGCUAGGUCUACUUGCUGGCGACCUCACCAUCACCAGCCCAUCUGCAGAUGAGGAUGUACGAAGGAUUUGGCCGUGAACUCAAUCAGACCAUUGGAUUGAAGCUAAAGGGGGCAUUGCAAAGAUAUGAAGGAAUGGCCUUUCGUUCAGAACCUGGUCAGCUACAUAACUUCUGGUCGUACAUGUUUCUGUUGCAGCGGCCCAGUCACGCGGAGAAGAAUGGCAGACGCUGAGAAUUGUGUCAGCUGAUUUUCUAAUUCAUGUUCAGCUCAUGGAUUCUCAUUUAUCUCUUCCAUUUACACAACGAGCGGCCUUCUUAUGAACAAGCAAAUAUCUGCCUCGGCCUUCUCUUUUAUCCUGCGGCACCCACCAAAUCGUAUCCUAUGUUUGCCGGAAAAUAAGGCCUCUAACAAAAGUACAAUCAGGAACUUGGCAUAAGCUAUACGUAUGCAAAUAGAGGUUCAGACACAACUCCAUGAACACCUUAUAGAUGCAUGAUGCUCUGACAAGCGGAAACAUCAGGACUACAGACAGAUAGAAGAAGCUUUUAUCAAAGUCUCCCCUUUCUGACAAUUGAGAGAAUUUUUAUGCAAGAUAAAUUUAACUCUGUUCUUGGUCAUGAAUCUUUACGUGUCUGUGCUCAACUGAAUCGUGUUUCCUUGGUGUGAUCUCUCCCAGAGCAAGAAGUAGUAUAACCGGCGGGAAAUGCUAGAGAUUUUUUGCUAUGUACCAUCAAGAUAGUAUGGCUUAUCAUUUUAAAUAGCAAUGCCUAAUGAGUGCUCAUCAUAUUAGUCCUUAAUACUCUGUCUUGCUGGCCAUGUACUAAAAAUGGCACUUCCACGUCUAAUGAAGAUAAGUAUGCUUGUGAUAUGCUCAA